rnacentral:rRNA from 1 species
AGUGAACGCUGGCGGUAGGCCUAACACAUGCAAGUCGAACGGCAGCACAGUAAGAGCUUGCUCUUACGGGUGGCGCGUGGCGGAAGGGUGAGGAAUACAUCGGAAUCUACUUUUUCGUGGGGGCUAACGUAGGGAAACUUACGCUAAUACCGCAUACGACCUACGGGUGAAAGCAGGGGAUCUUCUGACCUUGCGCGAUUGAAUGAGCCGAUGUAGGAUUAGCUAGUUGGCGGGGUAAAGGCCCACCAAGGCGACGAUCCGUAGCUGGUCUGAGAGGAUGAUCAGCCACACUGGAACUGAGACACGGUCCAGACUCCUACGGUAGGCAGCAGUGGGGAAUAUUGGACAAAGGGCGCAAGCCUGAUCCAGCCAUACCGCGUGGGUGAAGAAGGCCUUCGGGUUGGAAAGCCCUUUUGUUGGGAAAGAAAAGCAGCAGGUUAAUACCCCGCUGUUCUGACGGUACCCAAAGAAUAAGCACCGGCUAACUUCGUG